rnacentral:rRNA from 1 species
UGGCGAAUAUUGGACAAUGGGCGCAAGCCUGAUCCAGCCAUGCCGCGUGUGUGAAGAAGGCCUUUUGGUUGUAAAGCACUUUAAGCGAGGAGGAGGCUACUUGGAUUAAUACUCUAGGAUAGUGGACGUUACUCGCAGAAUAAGCACCGGCUAACUCUGUGCCAGCAGCCGCGGUAAUACAGAGGGUGCGAGCGUUAAUCGGAUUUACUGGGCGUAAAGCGUGCGUAGGCGGCUUUUUAAGUCGGAUGUGAAAUCCCUGAGCUUAACUUAGGAAUUGCAUUCGAUACUGGGAAGCUAGAGUAUGGGAGAGGAUGGUAGAAUUCCAGGUGUAGCGGUGAAAUGCGUAGAGAUCUGGAGGAAUACCGAUGGCGAAGGCAGCCAUCUGGCCUAAUACUGACGCUGAGGUACGAAAGCAUGGGGAGCAAACAGG